rnacentral:miRNA from 1 species
UUAUCAGACUUGUAGCAAAGUUGUUCUAACAAGCCUGAUACAGUCAUGGUAUAACAAGAAUGUUACAAGGUUGAUGACACAAGGUUGUAACCAUAUUGUUAUAUCAUGACUGUAUCGGACUUGUUGGAACAACCUUGCAACAAGUCUGAUAA